AACGAACGCUGGCGGCGCGCCUAAUACAUGCAAGUCGAGCGAGAAGACGUAGCAAUACGUUUGUAAAGCGGCGAACGGGUGAGGAAUACAUGGGUAACCUACCCUCGAGUGGGGAAUAACUAGCCGAAAGGUUAGCUAAUACCGCGUACGCUCCUUGGACUUCAGUUCAGGGAGGAAAGCGAUACCGUGGGUAUCGCGCUCUUGGAUGGGCUCAUGUCCUAUCAGCUUGUUGGNGAGGUAACGGCUCACCAAGGCUUCGACGGGUAGCUGGUCUGAGAGGACGAUCAGCCACACUGGCACUGCGACACGGGCCAGACUCCUACGGGAGGCAGCAGUAAGGAAUAUUGCGCAAUGGGCGAAAGCCUGACGCAGCGACGCCGCGUGGGGGAGUGAAGGUCUUCGGAUUG
rnacentral:rRNA from 1 species